rnacentral:rRNA from 1 species
AUGGGUACUGAAGACUCUAAAGAUAUGCUGAAGAAUGCAGACUGGAAGACUGUGAGUGGUGCAGUUACUGAGUCAAGUCAGCCGGUUGUUAGGAAGCGCCUUCCGAAGAAAAUAAGACAAGUUCCUGAGUGUUACUUUCUCCCUCGACGAUCUUUGCCUUCUGCACUGGCAAUCUAUGGUGCUGUUUGCGCCGCUGGAGUUGGUGCAGGGAUGUUGCUCGAGGUUUGGAUCAACAAAAAGAUCAAAGAGGAUGGCGGCGUUGUCUGGGAAAUGGGCAAAUGA